CCUCUUUUCUAGGAUCAAGAGGACCACACUCCAACCCAGGACAAAACCCCUCAGCAGCUCAUUGUCCGGCAGGAGAGGAGCAGACACACCUCCAAGAAGAUGGUUGUACCCCUGCACGGCUCUUCUCUGAGCAAUGAAGCCACACCACGAUACAAUUCUGAAGAGGAAGCCGCAACAAUCCCUGUCCCUGGAAUGCUGGCCUC
rnacentral:lncRNA from 1 species